GAUUCACACCCCUUUCACAUAAUAAGAAAAUCAAUAGAAUACUUACCAUAAUGUAUUACAAGGAUUAAACUAAUAAUUUCACCUUUGCACUACGAACGAUUUAACACCAAAAUAUCUGCAAAAUAACUUAAUGAAACUUACACUAUCCUUGGAUUAUAAUUGAAACUAGAGAGUCAAUUAAAGUCUCGCAAAAAGAUGAUAGCAACAAGCAAUAUUCAAAGAAAA
rnacentral:lncRNA from 1 species